rnacentral:rRNA from 1 species
GUUCCUACGGGGGGCAGCAGUGGGGAAUAUUGGGCAAUGGGGGAAACCCUGACCCAGCAACGCCGCGUGAGGGAAGAAGGUUUUCGGAUCGUAAACCUCUGUCCUUGGUGAAGAGAAGAAGACGGUAGCCAAGGAGGAAGCCCCGGCUAACUACGUGCCAGCAGCCGCGGUAAUACGUAGGGGGCAAGCGUUGUCCGGAAUUACUGGGUGUAAAGGGAGCGUAGGCGGGCGAGAAAGUUGAAUGUUAAAUCUACCGGCUUAACUGGUAGCUGCGUUCAAAACUUCUUGCCUUGAGUGAAGUAGAG